rnacentral:rRNA from 1 species
GAUGAACGCUGGCGGCGUGCCUAAUACAUGCAAGUCGAACGCUGGAGAUCUAGCUUGCUAGAUCGAAGGAGUGGCGAACGGGUGAGUAAUACAUAAGCAACCUACCCACGAAGACUGGGAUAAUCUCUGGAAACGGGGACUAAUACCGGAUAGGUAAUCGGAAGGCAUCUUCUGGUUAUUAAAGGUUAAAAACACUGGUGGAUGGGCUUAUGGCGCAUUAGUUAGUUGGUGAGGUAACGGCCCACCAAGACGAUGAUGCGUAGCCGGCCUGAGAGGGUGAACGGCCACAUUGGGACUGAGACACGGCCCAGACUCAUACGGGAGGCAGCAGUAGGGAAUUUUCGGCAAUGGGGGCAACCCUGACCGAGCAACGCCGCGUGAGUGAAGACGGCCUUCGGGUUGUAAAGCUCUGUUGUAAGGGAAGAACGGUAGAUAGAGAAUAUCUAAGUGACGGUACCUUACCAGAAAGCCACGGCUAACUACGUG